GAUGAACGCUGGCGGCGUGCCUAAUACAUGCAAGUCGAGCGGUAAGGCCACUUCGGUGGUACACGAGCGGCGGACGGCUGAGUAACGCGUAGGAACGUACCCCAAACUGAGGGAUAAGCACCAGAAAUGGUGUCUAAUACCGCAUGUGCUCUAAGGAGUAAAGCUUCGGCGGUUUGGGAACGGCCUGCGUCUGAUUAGCUUGUUGGUGAGGUAAAAGCUCACCAAGGCGACGAUCAGUAGCUGGUCUGAGAGGAUGAUCAGCCAGACUGGGACUGAGACACGGCCCAGACUCCUACGGGAGGCAGCAGUAGGGAAUUUUCCACAAUGGGCGCAAGCCUGAUGGAGCAACGCCGCGUGCAGGAUGAAGGCCUUCGGGUCGUAAACUGCUUUUCUCUGUGACGAUUAUGACGGUAGCAGAGGAAUAAGGGUCGGCUAACUACGUGCCAGCCGCCGCGGUAA
rnacentral:rRNA from 1 species